rnacentral:lncRNA from 10 species
AUGUUGGCCAGGAUUGUCUCUAACUCUGAUCUCAGGUGGUCUGCCUGCCUCAGCCUCCCAAAGUGCUGGGAUUACAGGCAUAAGCCACCAUGCCCAGCAAAUACUGCUAAUCCUUCAUCUGAAUUGGAACUAUCAGCAUGAACUCAUGCCACUGAAAAGGCUCAGAAGUAGUGACAACCCAAUAACAAUGAAUCCCCUGUGGGUCCCAGUUGUGAUCUCUACAUGGCACUUCCUGCUAAAAGGAACAAGGACUCUUUGGAGAAAUUCCAGGUCUGGGCCAGGAUAGCUUGUCAGACUAGAGAAUAAGGAAAUUUGGCUGGGUGUGAGCCACUGUGCCUGCCUGAUGGUAUGUUGAUUUCAGUGUAUCUCUUUCAAUCUGGGGGAGGAGCAAUAUGUCCUCACUGGGAUUAGUGCAUAUUCUGGAUAUGGAUUUGUCUUUCCUGACCAAAUGCCUGGGCCAGCACCAAAUAUCAAGGGCCCAAAGUCAAUGAUUUGUCCUUAUGAGACCCCUUAUAGUCUCACCUCUAACCAAGGGUCUGCACUUUAUAGCGAAGGAAAUGUGACAAUGGAUGCACAGCCACAGGAUCCAUUGGUUCUAUGCUAUAAUAUAUCACAUCACCUUGAAACUGCCAGCUUGUUAGUACAUUACUGUGGCCUCUUUACAGCACAUCUAAAGCCAGCCUGGGGAAAAGAUCCUGUGAGAUUUGGGUGCAGUCCUGCAAAAUGAAGUAUAUAUUUUGAGUUAAUGGCCAUUAUAUAGUGCUAUAUGCCAGACAGUUAGAAAUCAGGGGUACAGGAACCAAGGUAUGGAAGAAGGAAUACCCCUCUCACCAUCAGUCCUAGUGACUCACUUGGGGGAAUUUGUGCCUCCUGUCCUUAUACAUUUAAGGUCUGUGGGAUUAGAAGCCCUGGUUCUUGAAGUGGCAGAUGCAGCUCCCAGAGGUCACAGUGAAGAUGCUACUAAACCUAAGGCUACAGCAGCCAUUGGGUCAUUUGGGGCAUCUCAUACCAAUUGGCCAGUACACAAAGAAAGGAAUUAUGCAAGCAGAGAUAUUUGAUCUUCAUUAUCCCAUGAACAGGCAGUUGUAUCAAUGAUGGCCUGGCAAGGGCAUGGUGAUGUAAGGCAGAGAACUUCAGUCAUGAAGGUCUGGAUUUUCCAUUGAGAAAGCCCUGCAGACUAACAGAAUGAACUGUAGAGGAGGGAAAUGUUGAAUGCUGAUUUCAGCCUUGCAACCAACUGCAGCAAUGGUUAUGGUUUGUCCUACUAACCCACCCAUUGUACAAUUAAAAAAAAAAAAAACAGAUGGAGUCUCACUCUGUCACCCAGGCUGGAGUUCAGUGGCAUGAUUAUGGCUCACUGCGCCUCAAACUGCUAGGCUCAAGAAAUCCUUCCAUAUCAGCCUCCCUGGUAGCUGGGACUACAGACACACGCCACCACGCCUGGUGAAUUUUUAAAUUAUUUUUUAGAGACAGAGGUCUUGCUUUGUUGCUCAGACUGGUCUCAAACUCCUAGUUUCAAGUGAUCCUCCAGCCUCGGCCUCCCAAAGUGUUGGGAUUACUGGCAGGAGUCACCACACCCAGCCUGUUGUUAAGACUUUCUUUUAAAAGAAUUAGAAAUUGCAAUCAGCCACCACCUUGAAGCAUCAGAGACAGAAUAGAAUGAACUCAUGGAAUGAGAGGCACAAAUGGAUCCUAGCAGUGCAAAGGGGGGACGGUACUGUGACCCAUAUCCUUCAGCAUUCACCUCUACAGGAGGACGCAUCUUUGUGAACAUCUGUGACUCUGCCUGGAGGCGUUUGUUCUGGCUAUGGGAGCAUGUUUGUGCUCAGGGCAAGCCAGGAAUGCUAGAGAGUUAAUGCUCCCAGAAGGAGCUCUCAACCAACACAGAGGGAGUUGACAAUUAUAUCCUAUUUCUUUGCCCCUUGGGGAGGAUUCUCUGAGGCAGCUUCUACACUUCUCCCAGGUUCCUCAGCAGGAUUGAUCCCCAUUGGCCCACCUGCUCUAAUACAUGCCUCUAACUGGCUCCCUUCCCUUUCCUGUCCCACUUCUCCACUCCUCUCCCAGUGCCUGUUAGCAUCACUUACCAAAUAAACUACUUUUGUUCCUGACUCAAGAUCUGCUUCUAGGAAGCAGAUCCUUCUUAGCCCACCUAAGACAAAUGCGAGAUAAUCAAGCACUAAUUCUACCUUUCCUGAAUGGGUGAAAUGUCAGAGUAACAAAGCAGUUAUUGAGAGCAGUUUUUCUUACAGAUGAUUCACAGCUAAUAAACGAAGGUGGGCCUGGCGCAGCGGGUCAUGCCUGUAACCCCAGCACUUUGGGAUGCAGGGGCGGGCAGAUCACUUGAGGUCAGGAGUUCGACACCAGCCUGGCCAACAUGGUGGAACCCCUUCUCUACUAAAAAUACAAAAAUUAGCUGGGCAUGGUGGUGCGCACCUGUAAUCCCAGCUACUAGGGAGGCUGAGGCAGGAGAAUCACUUGAGCCCAGGAGGAAGAGGUUGCAGUGAGCCGAGAUCAAGCCACUGCACCUCUACUCUAGCCUGGGUGAUAGAACAAGACUCCAUCUCAAAAAAAAAAAAAAAAAAGAAGAAGAAGGAGGAAUGACAAAAUUAGACAAUCUCCAUUUUGCAACUCUUAAUGAAUGAAUGAAUCUAGACAAUGAUCAGCAGUGCCAUCAGAUAAAAGGUUGAUAGGUGUAGAGGGUCGAAUGGUGGCCACUAGAAAAUAUGUCCAUAGGCGUGAGCCACUGCGCCCGACCUACAAUGGAUAACCUUAUAAUUAAUGGACAGACAGCCUGAAUUUACUGAUCAAUCUCAACAUCAUUGAAAGUAGAUUAAGGCCCAGGUGUGGUGGCUCACACCUGUAAUCCCAACACUUUGGGAGGCCAAGGCGGGAAGAUGUUUAGAGGCCAGGAGCUUGAGACCAGCCUGGGCAACAUGGCGAAAUCUUGUCUCUAUGAAAACAAAACAAAACAAAACAAAAAACUA